UUAUGGAAGAGGAUCUCUACUCACAGCCCGAGUAGAGUCUGGGAACAGGGAGUGGCUCUGAGCUUUGUCGUAUGCUCCCCUGAGUCACCAUGUUCUGCUACAGGCACCCCUGACAUCUUGUUGCUAAAUCAGACACGGUGAACUGUGCCACAGUCCCUGCCUGGAGGAGUUUUCAGCAAUGUUUGUAAGGCCCAUUUGGAAUUCAUUCCUCCAGACGCCGAAUUUUGUUCAGGACCAACAGAGAAAUGACUUUGGAAAUCUUGUCCUACCUAGUAGCUGCUGCAGAGAUUUGGUUAAUCAAUAGAAAGACUGCUCCUUCAGGUACCACAGCCUCACCCACAAAGUCUCUCCCAUCGCACUCCAUUGUAAUCACCCCUUUAGACACUGACACAGAUAGUAGGCGGUGCAUACCAGGAUUCCAGCUCUGGCAGUCCCGAGGCUCUCCCUGCCCUCAGGAGCUUGGAAUCUGGCCGUGAAUGACGGAAGAGCUCUGCUCAGAAGAAGAAGCACCAAGGCCUUCCUGUGUCCUGGGAGCCAAGUGCUGAGGUGGCUGGGAGCAGUGCUUCCUGGGGGAGUGGGGUCACAGAGGGGACACGAAUGUGCUUGGGGUGUAAGAGCUCUCCGAGGAAGGGGAAAGGGCUGCUGAGGGAUUCCCCAUCCUUCACAUGUGCGGCCCAGAAGCCAGUUGUAGCAUAUUCUCUGUGUGAAUAUUCUCUGUUCCUGCCUUUGGAGGCUCCUUCUCUGUGACCAGCCCAGCCCACGCCAUUGGGUCUCAUCUGGGCGACAGGGGCCUGCUCUGGCUGAGCUCCCUGCUGCUGUUCUUGUUACCAGGAGUGUAUUGGUAAACAGUGGUCGUUUUACAUCACAAACCGGAAUCACGCCACUCCUGCUUUUAGAACUCCCCUGUAGCUUCCCCACUGUAUGAAGUAUAAAGAUCGGAUUUCUUACCCUGGCACGGAAGCCGUGAUACAACCCAAAUACCGCUCACUCCUGUAGCUGCUUUCCAUCAUGCCUUCCCUUCUCCCGUCAAUCUGACCUUUUUGUUCUCUUUUGAAACCAAUAAUCGUAUCUCCGCCUCAGGACCUCAAGACCCUCUGUGUCAGCUGGGAAUGAUCUGGUCUGGAGAGCAGUCUUGGGCCGUGGCCAUAGCAACUCCGUUUUAUGGUAUAGAGAUUUUUGCCUCAGAUGGAGCCCUGAAUGAACGUUCCGAGUACAGUACCCUAAUUGGGCCCCGGAUGGGAGUGCGCAGGCCGGACGCCAUUGUCUUGCUCUCCUUUAGCCUCUCAGGGCUUUCUUGUGCACACCCGUGACGCCCCAAGGUCUGCAGGGUGAAGAUCAAAGCAAAGCCUUCAAGUAAUAAAUGUGCAACCUGAAGGGCGUUUUCUCUACCGUAGGAUCUAAUUUUAAAGUUCCAAGUACCAAAUACCCCACCAGACUUUAUGGCACAUUUGCAGAGUCUAAAUGUCUCACCUAAGAGUAAUCUCGGAGAACAUCAAUUAAGCUAGGCUGCAUGUGACGGUACCUAGACGCAAUCCUGGCUGGCGCAGAGAAGGCAGCGUGAUGUCGUCCUCGACGGUGGAGGUGGCAUCAGAUCGCGAACACAGCCGGGCACACCAAGGGAUAUCCCGACGACUGAUCCCGCCGCCCAUCUACAGCUGCUCUGGUCGUCGCAGCCUGAGGGGAAUCUCCAUGUCUGACACCAAGCGCAAGCAUUUGUCUAAUGCUGCCGGACACUGAUUUGAGUAUAAAACAUACCACUUGGAUCGGAACCUAAAAGAGAUGGCGAACUCUCACAGACAGGUCUACCUCAAGGAGCUAACCAUGACCCAGGAAAUGGAAGCAGACGGAAAACGGAGGAGGAGAGAGGACAAGGAGACAUAAAAGGCAUUUUAUGUUCUUUUUAAGGAGUCAUUAAAGUAGCAUAAAAUAAAAAACCUUAAAAUCCACACAAAGUCUUAUUUAGCUAAGACUCGGACAGAGAAAAACGUACAU